GACGAACGCUGGCGGCGUGCUUAACACAUGCAAGUCGAACGGAAAGGCCCUGCUUUUGUGGGGUGCUCGAGUGGCGAACGGGUGAGUAACACGUGAGUAACCUGCCCUUGACUUUGGGAUAACUUCAGGAAACUGGGGCUAAUACCGGAUAGGAGCUCCUGCUGCAUGGUGGGGGUUGGAAAGUUUCGGCGGUUGGGGAUGGACUCGCGGCUUAUCAGCUUGAUGGUGGGGUAGUGGCUUACCAAGGCUUUGACGGGUAGCCGGCCUGAGAGGGUGACCGGCCACAUUGGGACUGAGAUACGGCCCAGACUCCUACGGGAGGCAGCAGUGGGGAAUAUUGCACAAUGGGCGGAAGCCUGAUGCAGCAACGCCGCGUGCGGGAUGACGGCCUUCGGGUUGUAAACCGCUUUCGCCUGUGACGAAGCGUGAGUGACGGUAAUGGGUAAAGAAGCACCGGCUAACUACGUG
rnacentral:rRNA from 1 species